rnacentral:rRNA from 1 species
UACGAAGGGGGCUAGCGUUGCUCGGAAUCACUGGGCGUAAAGGGUGCGUAGGCGGGUUUUUAAGCAGGGGUGAAAUCCUGGAGCUCAACUCCAGAACUGCCUUUGAUACUGAAGAUCUUGAGUUCGGGAGAGAGAGUGGAACUGCGAGUGUAGAGGUGAAAUGCGUAGAUAUUGCUCGGAAGGCCAACGGCGAAGGCAGGUUACUGGUACGCAACUGACACUGAGGCACGAAAGCGUGGGGAGCAAACAGG